GGCGGUAUACGUAGGUGGCGAGCGUUGUCCGGAUUUACUGGGCGUAAAGGGUGCGUAGGCGGAUGUUUAAGUGGGAUGUGAAAUCCCCGGGCUUAACCUGGGGGCUGCAUUCCAAACUGGAUAUCUAGAGUGCAGGAGAGGAAAGCGGAAUUCCUAGUGUAGCGGUGAAAUGCGUAGAGAUUAGGAAGAACACCAGUGGCGAAGGCGGCUUUCUGGACUGUAACUGACGCUGAGGCACGAAAGCGUGGGUAGCAAACAGGAUUAGAUACCCUGGUAGUCCACGCCGUAAACGAUGGAUACUAGGUGUAGGGGGUAUCAACUCCCCCUGUGCCGCAGUUAACACAAUAAGUAUCCCGCCUGGGGAGUACGGUCGCAAGAUUAAAACUCAAAGGAAUUGACGGGGGCCCGCACAAGCAGCGGAGCAUGUGGUUUAAUUCGAAGCAACGCGAAGAACCUUACCUGGACUUGACAUCCCUUGCAUAGCCUAGAGAUAGGUGAAGCCCUUCGGGGCAAGGAGACAGGUGGUGCAUGGUUGUCGUCAGCUCGUGUCGUGAGAUGUUAGGUUAAGUCCUGCAACGAGCGCAACCCUUGUUAUUAGUUGCUACCAUUAAGUUGAGCACUCUAAUGAGACUGCCUGGGUAACCAGGAGGAAGGUGGGGAUGACGUCAAAUCAUCAUGCCCCUUAUGUCCAGGGCUACACACGUGCUACAAUGGUAGGUACAAUAAGACGCAAGACCGUGAGGUGGAGCAAAACUUAUAAAACCUAUCUCAGUUCGGAUUGUAGGCUGCAACUCGCCUACAUGAAGCUGGAGUUGCUAGUAAUCGCGAAUCAGAAUGUCGCGGUGAAUACGUUCCCGGGCCCUUGUACACACCGCCCGUCACACCAUGAGAGCUGGUAAACGAACCCGGAAAGUCCGUG
rnacentral:rRNA from 1 species